rnacentral:rRNA from 1 species
GAUGAACGCUAGCUACAGGCUUAACACAUGCAAGUCGAGGGGAAACGAUAGAGAAAGCUUGCUUUUUCUAGGCGUCGACCGGCGCACGGGUGAGUAACGCGUAUCCAACCUGCCCAUCACUUGGGGAUAACCUUGCGAAAGUAAGACUAAUACCCAAUGAUAUCUCUAGAAGACAUCUGAAAGAGAUUAAAGAUUUAUCGGUGAUGGAUGGGGAUGCGUCUGAUUAGCUUGUUGGCGGGGUAACGGCCCACCAAGGCGACGAUCAGUAGGGGUUCUGAGAGGAAGGUCCCCCACAUUGGAACUGAGACACGGUCCAAACUCCUACGGGAGGCAGCAGUGAGGAAUAUUGGUCAAUGGACGAGAGUCUGAACCAGCCAAGUAGCGUGAAGGAUGAAGGUCCUACGGAUUGUAAACUUCUUUUANAAGGGAAUAAACCCUCCCACGUGUGGGAGCUUGUAUGUACCUUAUGAAUAAGCAUCGGCUAACUCCGUGCCAGCAGCCGACGG